GGAAUUGGGGGUUACUAUCUUGGAAUCUAGGGGCACUCCAGGCUCUGGGCUCAGACGGCUGACUUCUGCCUACCCGAGCCUUAACCUUUCAAAGACCAGAAGGAUUCCAGAGCUCUUGCCCUAGGUCCUGGGGCAGCGAUGACUCACUGCAGCACCCCCUCCCACUUCGCCAAGCUGCCGUCUCCGCCCACCCCCAAACAAUCUCGACAGCGCAUUUCGGGAGCCACGGCUCCGGGCGCUUUGCUGGGGGCUAAAGGGGUUUAUCCCUUUCCUUGAAUCCCAGGAGGCUAGAACUACCCCCUCCCAGUCUUCAGGCUUGCCACGCUCUCCACCCGAUCCUUCCAUUGAAAGGCAGAGAAGGAAGGAUGUGCUUGGGAACUUUAAGACCCACGAACGACAGCGCACUGAUGGAGCAGCCCAGUGUCCGGGGCAAAGUCCUCGAGGUUCAUUCAUUCAGGAAGCCUCUGACCAGCCUUUACCAUGCGCUGAGUGAGAAGCUGAGGAUAAGGAAAGAGCAAGACCCCCAAGAAACCCUGAUGUCUGGCUGAAAGCCGAAGCAUGACGCAACUUUGCUAUAUUUCUCUCCAACAAGGAUUUGUAUAUUUUCGCUUUCUCCUCAAGUAACACCUGGACCUGCUCCUUUCCCUUCAAACGCUGAGGGCUCAGUCUCCAAGUUCCUUUAUGAAACAGGGUGUACCAUCAGAGACGCAGGUAAGAAACCUGAACCGCGUGGCCUCAUAUAAACCCCACCACACCUCUGUCCUGGGCUUCUUCCCUGCAACAGGUGUAAAGACAAAAGGCUCAUUGUCCUUUGGAGCCUAUAGGAUAAACAGAAAGAACAUGUCCUUGCCGGUUAAUCUGCCGGUGAUAAAGAGUAUUGUUUUAUCUCCUGCCAUCUCCACGUUCCAAGAGAUGAAUUCUAUUGUGACACAAAGUCUGCUUUGUCCUUCCAACCCACUGAGAUGUUUAAAUUGGCCUCUCGUAUAUUCCUUGGCUGUCACAAUAAGAGCAAUGAGUUGUUAUAAUGUGUUGAGAGGAUCUUUCCCCCAUGACAAGGAGACCAUCAUCUACAGAGAUGCUAUGAUGCUGAGAAAUAAUGUGCUUCUCUUCUGCUCUAAUUUUUUUUUAAUUAAGACUUUUAUUUUUUGAGCAGUUAUAGGUUUAGAGAAAAAUUGAAGGGAAAGUACAGAGAGUUCCCAUCUUCUCUCACCCCUUUCAUCUCUGUUUCCAUACAGUUGCUACAAUUGAUGAGCCAACAGCCAUACGUUAUUAACUAAAGUUCACAGUUUACAUUAGGGUUCACUCUUUGCUUGUACAUUCUAUGGGUUUUGUCAAAUAUAUGAUAACCUGUAUCCUCCAUUAUAGUACAAUACAGAAGAAUCUCACUGCCCUAAAAAUCUCCUGUGUUCCUCCUGUGCAUCCCUCCCUCCCAUCCCCUGGGGAACCACUGAUCUUUUUGCUGGCUCCAGUUUUACCUUUUUCAGAAUGUGAGGUAGUUGGGAGUCAUACAGUACAUAUAUAUAUAUAUACGUAUAUAUAUAUAUAUAUAUAUAUAUAUAUAUAUAUGUGUAUAUAUAUGUAUAUAUAUAUAUAUGUGUAUAUAUAUGUAUAUAUGUAUAUAUAUAUAUAUAUAUAUAUAUAUAUAUAUAUACGUAUAUAUACGUAUAUAUAUAUAAAAUAGCCUUUUUAGAUGGAUGUCUUUCACAUAGCAAUAUGCACUGAACUUUCCUCCAUGACUUUGUGUGGCUCAAUAGUUCAUUUCUUUUUGUUGCUGAAUAGCUUCUGCUUAAUUUUCAAAGUGUUUAAUGUAAGAAAGCGGUAUAGUCCAUGUGCAGUGGCUCAACACCUGUAGUCCCAGCCCUCUGGGAGGCGGAGGCGGUGGAUCACUUGAGCCCAGGAGUUUGAGACCAGCCUGGGUAACAUGAUAAAACCCUGUCUCCAUAAAAAAUACAAAAAUUAGCUGGAAAUGGUAGUGUGCGCCUGUAGUCCCAGCUACUCAGGAGGCUGCGGUGGGAGGAUUGCUUAAGCCCAGGAGCUAGAGCCUAUAGUGAGCCAUGAUUGUGCCACCGCACUCCAGCCUGGGUGACAGAGUGAGAUCCUGUCUCAGAAACAAAAAAACAAAAAACAAAAAAAAAAACAGAAACAACAACAACAAAACAGCAGUAUAUUUGUCCCCACUCUCAUCUCUUCCUUUAUGGGUAUUUCCCUAAUUGUGAGAGAUUACCUGUGUUUUAAAAGGUGGCUUACUGUAUGCAUUGAGAAAAUUAAAUGACAUUUCAGACCAGUUCCAAGUACCUUUUGCAAAGCUAGAGAAAUAAAAGUGAAUUCUAGUAUCUCAAUCACAGCGUAAAACUAGAGAAGGUCUGUUUGGGCUUCAGGCAACAUUGGUGUUCUUGGCAAUUUUACCCAGAAGAAUUUAUAUUCCUAUAAUUAGUACUUCCUCCAAAAUUAAUGAUCGCCUGAUUGAUUUAUUUCUCUCCUAGCAGCACUGGAGGUCCCACUUACCUAGUUAGUAAUAACAUUUGCUCUUAAUACAUGAGUCAGUUUUCUUUUUUCCUUUUUUCUUUUUUUUUUUUUUACAUUUCCAAAACAGAAUACCCUGCAGGAAGAAUGGGAUGGCAGUGGAGGAGCUCUCACUCACGUAUCAUGUAAUGUGGGAGGCAGGGAUAUGCGAUAGUUAUAAAGGGUGCAGGCUUCAGAAUCAAAGGAGUGAGGUUGGUGUCCCUGCUUACGCCCUACUAGCUGAGUGUCCUUCAGGUCAUUUCUCCUCUCUCAGACUCAGUGGACUGUUUCCUAAAGCGCAGCUCAUAACAGGCUGUACGUGGUAAGACUGUCGGGAAGAUGGAAGGAGAUCAGUCAUCCCUAGAGAGCAUUAAGCACAGUCUCAGCCACAAAACACUUCCUCAAACAUGAUGCAAGCCACACAGGGCAUUUGGCCUGCGUAUAAAGGACAUACUGAGGACAGUGUAGAUGCUCACGAAAUUAGUCCUGAAUGAUCAAGGGGGGAAAGAGAGGGUUAAUCUUAUCAUAUGUGGGCUCUCAGAGAACACAGAGCUAUAGAAGGAAGCUGACUUAAUAAGGGUCAAGCAUGAUAGGGGAGAUUAGGAACCGUGUGCAAUCUAAUGGAACCACAGAUAACACUUCUAGUACUUUUUCCUUUUGGCCCUGCCCCUGCUGAGACAGGGCCACUGCUAAUAACUCACAUUCUUCUCUUCUCUCCUCUCAAAAAGCCCAUUUCCUGAGCAAGUAUAUGCUUUGGUAAGGUCAUUAGUGGUCAACAUGGUUCCCAAGUUUAGUGAAUACUUUCAGAUAAAACUGAAGGGUGCAAAAUCACUCUUUCCUCUCUCCCUCUCCUUAUCCUACCUCUCACAAUAAAACGACUUAUCUACUAAUUACAAAGACCUCAAUAGUGGAAGAAACCCAUAUCCUACAUAACAUGGAGAGCUAGCUAUAUACCCUUGGCAUCAGUUUUUAUCCUACUUUUACUUUUUACUGACUUUCAUUUACUGAACAAAGCCUCCUUUGCCAAAGACAGGGUAAAUAAACUCAGUCACAUCCUGUCUUCCUUACAUCUUUGUUUAUCCAUAAACUGUCGAAGAUACAGAUGAAAAUCCACUAAAGCAUGCUUGAAGCGGUUACACGAAGGCCAAAUAAGAUGGGAAUGGAAAUGCCUGAUGUUAAGGGAAGAUACUACCUAAAAUGAUACUGAGCUGGCCCGUGUAAUGACAUGAAAACAAAAAAAAAA
rnacentral:antisense_RNA from 1 species